rnacentral:rRNA from 1 species
UGCAAGUCGAACGGUGAAGCCCAGCUUGCUGGGUGGAUCAGUGGCGAACGGGUGAGUAACACGUGAGCAACCUGCCCCCUACUUCGGGAUAAGCCUUGGAAACGAGGUCUAAUACCGGAUAUGAGCACCUGCCGCAUGGUGGGUGUUGGAAAGUUUUUCGGUGGGGGAUGGGCUCGCGGCCUAUCAGCUUGUUGGUGGGGUAAUGGCCUACCAAGGCGUCGACGGGUAGCCGGCCUGAGAGGGCGACCGGCCACACUGGGACUGAGACACGGCCCAGACUCCUACGGGAGGCAGCAGUGGGGAAUAUUGCACAAUGGGCGAAAGCCUGAUGCAGCGACGCCACGUGAGGGAUGACGGCCUUCGGGUUGUAAACCUCUUUCAGCAGGGAAGAAGCGAAAGUGACGGUACCUGCAGAAGAAGCGCCGGCUAACUACGUGCCAGCAGCCGCGGUAAUACGUAGGGCGCAAGCGUUGUCCGGAAUUAUUGGGCGUAAAGAGCUCGUAGGCGGUCUGUCGCGUCUGGUGUGAAAUCCCAUGGCUCAACUGUGGGCUUGCAUCGGGUACGGGCAGACUAGAGUGCUGUAGGGGAGACUGGAAUUCCUGGUGUAGCGGUGGAAUGCGCAGAUAUCAGGAGGAACACCGAUGGCGAAGGCAGGUCUCUGGGCAGUUACUGACGCUGAGGAGCGAAAGCAUGGGGAGCGAACAGGAUUAGAUACCCUGGUAGUCCAUGCCGUAAACGUUGGGCACUAGGUGUGGGGCGGGUUCCACUCGUUCUGUGCCGCAGCUAACGCAUUAAGUGCCCCGCCUGGGGAGUACGGCCGCAAGGCUAAAACUCAAAGGAAUUGACGGGGGCCCGCACAAGCGGCGGAGCAUGCGGAUUAAUUCGAUGCAACGCGAAGAACCUUACCAAGGCUUGACAUGUACGAGAACGCGUCAGAGAUGACGAACUCUUUGGACACUCGUACACAGGUGGUGCAUGGUUGUCGUCA